AACGAACGCUGGCGGCAUGCCUAACACAUGCAAGUCGAACGAGCCCUUCGGGGUUAGUGGCGCACGGGUGCGUAACGCGUGGGAAUCUGCCCUUGGGUUCGGAAUAACAGUGAGAAAUUACUGCUAAUACCGGAUGAUGUCUUCGGACCAAAGAUUUAUCGCCCAAGGAUGAGCCCGCGUAGGAUUAGCUAGUUGGUGGGGUAAUGGCCUACCAAGGCGACGAUCCUUAGCUGGUCUGAGAAGAUGAUCAGCCACACUGGGACUGAGACACGGCCCAGACUCCUACGGGAGGCAGCAGUGGGGAAUAUUGGACAAUGGGCGAAAGCCUGAUCCAGCAAUGCCGCGUGAGUGAUGAAGGCCUUAGGGUUGUAAAGCUCUUUUACCCGGGAUGAUAAUGACAGUACCGGGAGAAUAAGCUCCGGCUAACUCCGUG
rnacentral:rRNA from 1 species